rnacentral:rRNA from 1 species
AUUGAACGCUGGCGGCAUGCCUUACACAUGCAAGUCGAACGGUAACAGGUCUUCGGAUGCUGACGAGUGGCGCACGGGUGAGUAAUACAUCGGAACGUGCCCGAUCGUGGGGGAUAACGAGGCGAAAGCUUUGCUAAUCCCGCAUACGAUCUACGGAUGAACGCGGGGGAUCUUCGGACCUCGCGCGGACGGAGCGGCCGAUGGCAGAUUCGGUAGUUGGUGGGAUAAAAGCUUACCAAGCCGACGAUCUGUAGCUGGUCUGAGAGGAUGAUCAGCCACACUGGGACUGAGACACGGCCCAGACUCCUACGGGAGGCAGCAGUGGGGAAUGUUGGACAAUGGGCGAAAGCCUGAUCCAGCCAUGCCGCGUGCAGGAUGAAGGCCUUCGGGUUGUAAACUGCUUUUGUACGGAGCGAAAAGCCUCUUUCUAAUAAAGAGGGGUCAUGACGGUACCGGAAGAAUAAGCACCGGCUAACUACGUG